rnacentral:rRNA from 1 species
GGACUACUGGGGUAUCUAAUCCUGUUUGCUCCCCACGCUUUCGCGCCUUAGCGUCAGUAUCGAGCCAGAAAGUCGCCUUCGCCACUGGUGUUCUUACGAAUAUCUACGAAUUUCACCUCUACACUCGUAAUUCCACUUUCCUCUCUCGAUCUCUAGUUCCACAGUAUCAAAUGCACCUCCUAGGUUAAGCCUAGGGCUUUCACAUCUGACUUAUGGUACCGCCUACACGCCCUUUACGCCCAGUAAUUCCGAACAACGCUAGCUCCCCUCGUAUUACCGCGGCUGCUGGCAC